rnacentral:piRNA from 1 species
CCUGUUAAUAAAUCCUGAAAACGAG